GUUCACUGAUCCGAUUUAUGAAAUGAUGUGGAAACGAUUCCUGUGUAUCGAUGACAAGUGUUGGAAUAUGUGAACAAUCAAUUGGUGGAUUUGAUAAGAAUGGAAUACUGAACGAACCUGUGAAGUUCCUGUGGGACCAGCG